CAGGGACAGGAUCCUUGCUUUAAAAGCACUCACCUAGCAUCAUGCAGCCUUUUCUCAACAAGGAAAGGGAAGAAGAAUGAUUUGAAGAAGGAAAAUGGCACCAACUUGGUUUGCUUGAUGAAUUUGUGGAUCCAAAUUCCAAAGUGGACUUACCUGAUUUGCAUCUCCCUGAUUAAUAUGCAGACCAGAUCAUAAUCCUUCUUCAGACUCCAAACUCAGGCUUUCAAUGUGUGCUUUACUACAAUAGCAUGUGGAGUGCACCUAAGGGAAGAAGCAUCUGAUUGGUCUCUCAUGGACAACAUCUGCACUGGAAACUGCAACUUUAGCUUUGAAGCUCCACGAAAUGUGCAGCAUUCCCUUCAAGAGGCACAGUGUUCCUUUUCUGCAUCAGUUUGACCAUUUGCCACCCAGAGGGACCCAUUUCCUGGUAUCUCACUCAUUUUUCUUCUUGUGGAGACAAAACUUCUACAGACAUUUCAAGCCUGAUCUUUUCCAGAAAUGAUUCUGAAUGCUUUAAGAUAUUAGCGUAAUUAUCAAAAGCUAAUGAGUUUUUAAAGCUUUUUAAUAUGAAAGCAUGAUUUCAGAACCUCUUGCUGUCAGAACUAUAACUAGGUUACAGACGCAGUGGCAUGAUUUAUGACCCAUUCACACUAAUGACUAGAGACUGAAGAUACAGCUCCUUAUGAAUAAGCACUCUUGCCUCAUCAUGACAGGGCAGUGAAAGCUCUGAAAAUAUGCUUAUGUGCUCCUGCAUAAUGGAUCAGAGGCUUAAUAAAAGGCCACCUUAAUAGCAUUCCUCUACUAAUAUAACAAGGGAUAGCUUGCAAGCAGAGUGCCUAUUAUCUGAACUUCAGCUGCCUGCAAACUUCUAGUUAGCUAAAUUGUGUGUGUGUGUGCUGUGUGUUAGUUAUCCAUCCACGUGUUCCCAUAUUUUGACAAUGAAAUUAAGAACUAGAGGUAUAUAAGGAAUUUGAUUUUUGUGAAUUCCAGCAUGAAUUGAUCUGAUCAACAUUUCCUAGACUAAUGUGUAGACUGGAA